GGGCCAGGAGGUUGGUCGUGCCACCGGUACGUACUGGUCUCACUGAUUCCUCCUUCCUGAAGAACCGUAAUGCCAUUAAUUUGGUGUUGCGGGGAAACAGGACCGUUACUUUGAAAAAAUUAGAGUGUUUAAAGCAAGCUAACGCUUGAAUACAUUAGCAUGGAAUAAUGAAAUAGGACGAUCGAUCCUAUUUUGUUGGUUCCUAGGAUUGACGUA
rnacentral:rRNA from 1 species